rnacentral:snRNA from 1 species
GUGCUCACUUUGGCAGCACAUAUACUAAAAUUGGAAUGAUACAGAAAUUAGUAUGGCCCUUGUGUAAGGAUGAUACACAAAUUCGUGAAGUGUUCAAUAUAUUU